GGUAUAGCUCAGUUGGUAGAGUGCUUGCCUUGCAUGCAGAAGGCCCUGGGUUCAAUCCCCAGCACACACA
rnacentral:tRNA from 1 species